rnacentral:rRNA from 1 species
UACGAAGGGGGGCUAGCGUUGCUCGGAAUGACUGGGCGUAAAGGGCGCGUAGGCGGUUUGUACAGUCAGAUGUGAAAUUCCUGGGCUCAACCUGGGGGGCUGCAUUUGAUACGUAUGGACUGGAGUGAGGAAGAGGGUCGUGGAAUUCCCAGUGUAGAGGUGAAAUUCGUAGAUAUUGGGAGGAACAUCAGUGGCGAAAGCGGCACCCUGGCAUUAGCCUGACGCUCAUGUGCGAAAGCGUGGGGAGCGAACGGG